UUGAUUUACCAGAGAAUCUAGCUAGUUUUUCUACGAGACCUAUCAAUCAGUAACAACAAAGCAAUUUGAGUUAGCUUAGAUGGUCGUAGACUCAGCCCACAUAUGGAAUAUCCGAAUAUACAUGCACAAGAAACUAGUGAUAUGGCAAAUGUAUUGGCUUAAAAUUUUAUUUAUAAAUUUAUAAGAUGUUGACAACAUCUUUGGACUCGAGUAUAAACAUGGUUGUACAGGAACCUCCGAAAACAUUGACUGCACAGUUAGAACCCGGAGCAUAGUGGUUGGCUCCACCUCGAAGUCUUAUUAAAAUGUUUUGUUUGAAGAAGUCGUAAUAAAAUGUAUUGCUGGCACCGAGUUGUAUUCUUUUUCUUGAAGCUCAUGCACUGGGAUUUUGUAAUUUCUUCUCUUAUUCAAUUAGGCUACACGAGAACAAGCACAUGCACUCUAUCUAGCUUACCCCCUCCCCCCACACACACAUAUCAUUAAAGUCUGCUAUAGCUAUAGACUUGCGUUGAAGUUUAGUUCGGUGCUGAUCGGCUUGUUAUGCAAAGGAUUUUCCCUUUUAGUUAUCUGUUGCCGUGUCCUUGAGCCUCUCCCUCACAUUGGUGCUUUUCAAGUCAGUAGCUGCCUUGACAAUCUGAAUGAUAUACUAAAUUAAUGAGAAGAAAUCUAGUACAUGUCGAGAAUACAUGGUAUUUUAAAAGAAAAGUUAAAUCAAGAAAAAUGUUAAUUAACCUUUAUAUCUAUCUAGUUCCUGUAAUGUAUGUAGCAGUAAGAGAAUCACUACGAUGUGAUCAAUUUAUAGAGGGAAGUGAAACCCAACAACAGAGAAAGGUGAAGUUCAUUGCUGUGUGUACAAAUCCUUGAUCCAUUUGUUUCGUUUUGGUCUCCCAAAACUAUUCUAUUUAUAUGGAUUACCAGCAAAAUUUAAAUUCAUAAAAGAGCCAGAAAAUGCUUUUAUUUUUAAUAGGAAUAGGCAUUUUGGUUUAAAUUCAGGUUUGGUUUGAGUUCAAUUCGGCUUGGUGUAGAGCUUAAAAAUCUUUAACCAGUUAACCAAAAUUAGUUCGUGUUCAGUUAAGUUUGGCUUUAGUUCUAUUUUAGUAUUUUUGUUUUUCUUCAGUUCAAUUUGUUUGUCUAAGUUCAAUUUGGUUUUGUUUGUGUUUGUUCAGUUUAAUUAAAU
rnacentral:lncRNA from 1 species